UACAGAGGUCCCGAGCGUUGUUCGGAUUCACUGGGCGUAAAGGGUGCGUAGGUGGCAUAGAAAGUUUGAUGUGAAAGCUCAGGGCUUAACCCUGAAAUGGCAUUGAAUACUGCUGUGCUGGAGGUUUGGAGGGGGGACUGGAAUUCUUGGUGUAGCAGUGAAAUGCGUAGAUAUCGGAAAGAACACCAACGGCGAAAGCACUCUGCUGGGCCGACACUGACACUGAGAGACGAAAGCUAGGGGAGCGAAUGGG
rnacentral:rRNA from 1 species